UACGUAGGGCGCAAGCGUUGUCCGGAAUUAUUGGGCGUAAAGAGCUCGUAGGCGGUUUGUCGCGUCUGCUGUGAAAACCUAAGGCUCAACCUUGGGCUUGCAGUGGGUACGGGCAGACUAGAGUGCGGUAGGGGUGACUGGAAUUCCUGGUGUAGCGGUGGAAUGCGCAGAUAUCAGGAGGAACACCGAUGGCGAAGGCGGCUCACUGGCCCGAUACUGACGCUGAGGAGCGAAAGCGUGGGGAGCAAACAGG
rnacentral:rRNA from 1 species